rnacentral:misc_RNA from 1 species
AAAUUUUGGCAGACCUUAGCACCCAGUUGUCGAACAUAACCACAGUCGGUGAAAGCAAGGUUGAGACACCCAGUGAGAUUGAAGGACAGCUAAAUGUUAUUCAGGAGAAGAUUAUGAGUUGGGAGACUGAUCAGUCAAUGAUAUGGGAUUCCGGUCUUGAUGAAGCUACUCAGUAUCUAAAUGCUGCCGAAGAAGCCAGAAGGUUGGCUGAAAGGUUGGGGACUUUGUCUUUGAACAAAGAUGAUGGGGAAAAGGAGCUGUUGAUGAGGGCACAUGA